GGUUAAGUUAGAAAGGGCGCACGGUGAAUGCCUUGGCACUAGGAGCCGAUGAAGGACGGGACUAACACCGAUAUGCUUCGGGGAGCUGUAAGUAAGCUUUGAUCCGGAGAUUUCCGAAUGGGGAAACCCACUGCUCGUAAUGGAGCAGUAUCAUUACCUGAAUCCAUAGGGUAAUGAGGGCACACCCGGGGAACUGAAACAUCUAAGUACCCGGAGGAAGAGAAAGCAAAUGCGAUUCCCUGAGUAGCGGCGAGCGAAACGGGAACAGCCCAAACCGAAAGGCUUGCCUUUCGGGGUUGUAGGACACUCAAUACGGAGUUACAAAGGAACGGGGUAGAUGAAGCGGUCUGGAAAGGCCUGCCGUAGAAGGUAAAAGCCCUGUAGUCGAAACUUCGUUCCCUCCUGAGUGAAUCCUGAGUACGGCCGGACACGUGAAAUCUGGUCGGAAGCAGGGAGGACCAUCUCCCAAGGCUAAAUACUCCCUAGUGACCGAUAGUGAACCAGUACCGUGAGGGAAAGGUGAAAAGCACCCCGGGAGGGGAGUGAAAGAGAACCUGAAACCGUGUGCCUACAAGUAGUCAGAGCCCGUUUAUGGGUGAUGGCGUGCCUUUUGUAGAAUGAACCGGCGAGUUACGAUUACAUGCGAGGUUAAGUUGAAGAGACGGAGCCGUAGCGAAAGCGAGUCUGAAUAGGGCGAUGGAGUAUGUAGUCGUAGACCCGAAACCAGGUGAUCUACCCAUGUCCAGGGUGAAGUCCAGGUAACACUGGAUGGAGGCCCGAACCCACGCACGUUGAAAAGUGCGGGGAUGAGGUGUGGGUAGCGGAGAAAUUCCAAUCGAACUUGGAGAUAGCUGGUUCUCUCCGAAAUAGCUUUAGGGCUAGCCUCACGUAGUAAGAGUCUUGGAGGUAGAGCACUGUUUGGACUAGGGGCCCUCAUCGGGUUACCGAAUUCAGAUAAACUCCGAAUGCCAAUGACUUAUCCGUGGGAGUCAGACUAUGAGUGAUAAGAUCCAUGGUCAAAAGGGAAACAGCCCAGACCACCAGCUAAGGUCCCAAAGUAUACGUUAAGUGGAAAAGGAUGUGGAGUUGCUUAGACAACCAGGAUGUUGGCUUAGAAGCAGCCACCAUUUAAAGAGUGCGUAAUAGCUCACUGGUCGAGUGACUCUGCGCCGAAAAUGUACCGGGGCUAAACGUAUCACCGAAGCUGUGGGUGGACACCUUCUGGUGUCCGCGGUAGGAGAGCGUUCUAAGGGCGUUGAAGCUAGACCGAAAGGACUGGUGGAGCGCUUAGAAGUGAGAAUGCCGGUAUGAGUAGCGAAAGAUGAGUGAGAAUCUCAUCCACCGUAUGCCUAAGGUUUCCUGAGGAAGGCUCGUCCGCUCAGGGUUAGUCGGGACCUAAGCCGAGGCCGAAAGGCGUAGGCGAUGGACAACAGGUUGAUAUUCCUGUACCACCUCUUUAUCGUUUGAGUGAUGGGGGGACGCAGGAGGAUAGGGUAAGCGCGCUGCUGGUUAUGCGCGUGUAAGCAGUUAGGUUGGCAAAUAGGAAAAUCCGUUUGCCGUUAAGGCUGAGCUGUGAUGCCGAGGGAAUUUGAGUACCGAAGUUCCUGAUUCCACACUGCCAAGAAAAGCCUCUAGCGAGAUAAAAGGUGCCCGUACCGCAAACCGACACAGGUAGGCGAGGAGAGAAUCCUAAGGUGAGCGAGAGAACUCUCGUUAAGGAACUCGGCAAAAUGACCCCGUAACUUCGGGAGAAGGGGUGCUCAUUAGGGUGCAUAGCCUUGAUGAGCCGCAGUGAAUAGGCCCAGGCGACUGUUUAGCAAAAACACAGGUCUCUGCGAAGCCGCAAGGCGAAGUAUAGGGGCUGACGCCUGCCCGGUGCUGGAAGGUUAAGAGGAAGGGUUAGCUCACGCGAAGCUCUGAAUCGAAGCCCCAGUAAACGGCGGCCGUAACUAUAACGGUCCUAAGGUAGCGAAAUUCCUUGUCGGGUAAGUUCCGACCCGCACGAAAGGCGUAACGAUCUGGGCACUGUCUCAACGAGAGACUCGGUGAAAUUAUAGUACCUGUGAAGAUGCAGGUUACCCGCGACAGGACGGAAAGACCCCGUGGAGCUUUACUGCAGCCUGAUAUUGAAUUUUGGUACAGCUUGUACAGGAUAGGUAGGAGCCGUGGAAGCCGGAGCGCCAGCUUCGGUGGAGGCGUCGGUGGGAUACUACCCUGGCUGUAUUGAAAUUCUAACCCGCACCCCUUAUCGGGGUGGGAGACAGUGUCAGGUGGGCAGUUUGACUGGGGCGGUCGCCUCCUAAAGAGUAACGGAGGCGCCCAAAGGUUCCCUCAGAAUGGUUGGAAAUCAUUCGCAGAGUGUAAAGGCACAAGGGAGCUUGACUGCGAGACCUACAAGUCGAGCAGGGACGAAAGUCGGGCUUAGUGAUCCGGUGGUUCCGCAUGGAAGGGCCAUCGCUCAACGGAUAAAAGCUACCCCGGGGAUAACAGGCUUAUCUCCCCCAAGAGUCCACAUCGACGGGGAGGUUUGGCACCUCGAUGUCGGCUCAUCGCAUCCUGGGGCUGUAGUCGGUCCCAAGGGUUGGGCUGUUCGCCCAUUAAAGCGGUACGCGAGCUGGGUUCAGAACGUCGUGAGACAGUUCGGUCCCUAUCCGUCGUGGGCGUAGGAAAUUUGAGAGGAGCUGUCCUUAGUACGAGAGGACCGGGAUGGACGCACCGCUGGUGUACCAGUUGUCUUGCCAAAGGCACCGCUGGGUAGCUAUGUGCGGAAGGGAUAAGUGCUGAAAGCAUCUAAGCAUGAAGCCCCCCUCAAGAUGAGAUUUCCCAUAGCGUUAAGCUAGUAAGAUCCCUGAAAGAUGAUCAGGUUGAUAGGUCAGAGGUGGAAGCACGGUGACGUGUGGAGCUGACUGAUACUAAUCGAUCGAGGACUUAACCAA
rfam:Bacillus sp. X1(2014), complete genome.